GACGAACGCUGGCGGCGUGCUUAACACAUGCAAGUCGAACGGAAAGGCCCUGCUUGCAGGGUGCUCGAGUGGCGAACGGGUGAGUAACACGUGGGUGCUCUGCCCCUUACUUUGGGAUAAGCCUGGGAAACUGGGUCUAAUACUGGAUAGGUCCAUGCUGUAGGUGGUGUGGUGGAAAGAUUAGUUUAGGUAAGGGAUGAGCUCGCGGCCUAUCAGAUUUUUGGGGGGGUAAUGGCCUACCAAGGCGUCGACGGGUAGCCGGCCUGGGAGGGUGGACGGCAAGAUUGGGAGGGGGCUACGGUACAGACGUCAACGGGAGGGAGCAGAGGGGAAGAGAGUACAAGGGGAGGAAGCCAGAUGUAGCGAAGCAGUGCGGGGGGUGAGGGGCUGCGGGUUGGAAAGUAAAGUGAGCCAUGAAGAAGCGCAUGUGGUGACGGUAGUGGUAGAAGAAGCACCGGCUAACUACGUG
rnacentral:rRNA from 1 species